rnacentral:tRNA from 1 species
GUCGGGAUAGCUCAGCUGGUAGAGCAGAGGACUGAAAAUCCUCGAGUCACCAGUUCAAAUA